rnacentral:tmRNA from 1 species
GGGGCUGACCGGUAUUGACAGGAUGUGUGAGGGUGUAUGCCAGCAUGCAAGCUCGUGAGGGUAGAGCUUUGACCCCUGCUCUCGAAAUCUACGUGGCGAGAAUACCUACGCCAUGGCUGCGUAAUCUGACCUAAGGUUGGAUUUGCUUGUCCCCGGAUAAGAUCCGGGGAGGCCAUCAUCGCCCGGUCUUUCUGUUUUGCGGAGGCCGGAACGCGGUGUCGUUCAGCAGAACUGGGCCCCGUCGUGUCGCGCGGCGGUGUCGAGAAACAGCGACUACGGGGAAGUUUAGGCGGUAGCCUGCCUUGCCUCUCCCGACAAUCAAAGGCGACUAAGCAUGUAGAACGUACACGUUCAUCUUCUCUGGACCAGGGUUCGAUUCCCUGCAGCUCCACAG